CGGUGGUGCUCCUCUUGAAGGGCGACGUCAAGCAAUCCGCCUCCAGGUCGGAAUUAGACGUUGAUUUCUGGAUCUCAAAACAGUAAAAGAGUGCUCUUUUGAUUCAACAACUAAAUUUAAAUGAUUCAAUGGGCAGCGGAGUCCAGCAAGACACCAAAUGAGAUAGGUUCCAGGGAAACCCAAAGACAAGGACGGGUGUGUGUACAAUUCACGCAUUGCUCAGUUUAAUAAAGUAAAAAAGGGCUUUGGUCUGAAAGCAGCAUUCUUUUGCGCCAGUUUCAUUCAUCUAAACCCACCCAAGAUACAUCGGUAUGCAUAAUAAAAAUGAAAACAAUAAAAAGAUAACUAAAAGGGAGGGAAGAUGUGCAUCUGGGUCAAGAUGUGGUGGAAGUUAUCGGAGGGUGUAUCAACGGGGUGGGUAUGAACUCCUUGUGUUAUGCUGCUGUAACGAGGAGGACGUGUUGAUCUGAGUUUGAUCACCAGACAAGCGAUGAUCAACCGAUGAAGAUGGAAACAACACCUGACAUGACCUAUCCUCCAUUUCUUGCUCCCCUCUGCCUUCUGUGGAGAGAAAGAAUCAAUGUUUUUGAACUUGUAAAUUCCAAAAAAGACUAGUAGGCCAGGUCACGUGUCUUUGACUAUGUGUGAAAGGUGAGAGAGGCGUAGACG